UACGGAGGGUGCAAGCGUUAUCCGGAUUCACUGGGUUUAAAGGGUGCGUAGGUGGGUUGGUAAGUCCGUGGUGAAAUCUCCGAGCUUAACUCGGAAACUGCCGUGGAUACUAUCAAUCUUGAAUACUGUGGAGGUAAGCGGAAUAUGUCAUGUAGUGGUGAAAUACAUAGAGAUGUCAUAGAACACCGAUUGCGAAGGCAGCUAACGAAACUGUAACUGACACUGAGGCUCGAAAGUGCGGGGAUCAAACAGG
rnacentral:rRNA from 1 species